UUAGGAUAUCGAACACAGCGGUUUGGCCCACGGACAAGCGACCUCCUCCACUUGACUCCUCGAAUCGACUCGACUCGACGCUCGACUCGACUCCGACACGAUUCAAGUCGAUUGGAUUGGAUCGGGGACUGUCGACUCUCGACUCUCGACUCGACCAGAGCCAACACCAGAGUGUGCCACUUAUUCGGCCUUUAGCCAGUCAGCGCAUCAAACACGUUACACGCGGAUUGUUCUACACGUUCACGCGUUGCAUUUCGCAUUUCAAAUUUCGCAUUCAUUCGGUGUCUCGUCUUCACGUGCUUGCAACACGCUUGCCGCGCUGUCGUCGCGUUCCCGCGUUUGUUGGCGGCACUUGACCGCAUCUGAAGCGCCUUGAACCGCAACCCGCGAAAAAGUCAAAACUCAAACUCGAAAAACGCAAAACGAAACUUUUUCUGUGACGCUGCGAAUUGAGCGUGCCACGCCCACCUGCCCAGUGUCCCGUGACGCAGUUGGAGCUCACGAAAGGAUAGAGAGAGAGAGAGAGAGAG